AAACGGAAGAGUUUGACCCUGGCUCAGGACGAACGCUGGCGGCGUGCCUAACACAUGCAAGUCGAGCGGGGACAUUCGACGGACCGGAAGUUUUCGGA
rnacentral:rRNA from 1 species